GGGAAGGUAGCUCAGUGGUAGAGUACUUGCCUUGCAUGCAUGAGGUCCUGGGUUCAAUUCCUAAGCACCA
rnacentral:tRNA from 1 species